AGGAGAUUUACAAGAAUGUCUUGGAAGGAGCCACUGAACUUAAAGAAAGAGGCAAUAUAUACUUAGGAGGUGGUAACAUGAACAUAGAUGGUUUAAGGUUGCAGGCCAUGUUUGCUAUAGGACAACUUGAAUCACAUUUGGGGUAGACUUAAUGUUUUUGAACCUCUGUAGUGCAGACGAUUAUUUGCAAAUGGCACUGACUAUGGCAAAUCAGCUGAACUCAAUUUAAAAGUUCAUACUGCAUUAUCACUGAGCCUGGUUGUGGCAUAUUGUUCCUAAUAUCUUGUUGUUCUGUAUUUGUUGCAGGCGAAAAACAUCCCAAGCUGGCUGUUGUCUUAACAAAUAGGGCUCUUAUGUAUAAACGUUUUAUGGAGAAGGAACAUUCGCUUAUGGUUCAGGAGGGUAUCUACAGAGAAGUUUCAGAGAUGUUGAAGUUCCCACCACCUGAAACUGAAUCUGAAGGUGCUGCAGCUAAACCCCCGGUAAAGAGAAAUGAUAUGGUGGCUCUUGCAAGUGGUGGAUAUGCAGAAGUACUAAGUUUCCAAGAAGAUCGACAGCAUGAAGGAGUAGAGAUGAAGAAAUUAUCCGACUCUUUAUGGAAAAACAAAAGGAUGUCUCUGGAUGAUUUUCUAGGAAAUACAGAAGCAAGUAUAGGUACGGUUGUUGAUGCUCGUAUUUGCAGGCUUCUGUGAAUUGAUCCAUCUUCUGCUGCUUAUCUUGCUGCUGAAUGUUUAGGUUGGAGUAUUGAUUAAUGAAAAAAAUUAGCUAAUUUUGUUGAAAAUUAGUUCUUGGUGUGUGGUUCUUGCAGUUAAAAUGUUAUGAUGGCAUAUACUAUGGUAUCCAUUGUCAUGUACAUAUCAUUUCUAAGGUGUAUAAUGACACGGAAAAUGGUGACUAUGGUGAAGCAGCGGAUAAACUCUUUAUGAUAGUAGUAAUAUCCAUUGUUGGAUAUAUUAGUACUUUAAUCAAUGGAUUAGGAUUUUUAUCUAGAACUUGUUAAAAUUCAAAAUUUCAGAGUAAGUCAGAGUAUAGUUAAUUCACCAGUUGCAAUGAAAAUUUUAGUAUAGUCCUCUGAAGUUCUACUUUUGUCCUCUAAAGUUUAGACAAAAACAAGUCAUUUUUUUGUAUUUAUAAACAGGUAUCGCAUUUUUGUAAUUAGAGGGGUGAAUAGGUUAGACUUUGCUAAA